UUGGUAAUGCCCGUAAUGGUUUCUUUCUUAAUUUUUCUUCCAAGAAAGUCAUCAUACGUCACUUAAUGUCUCCUGUUCAGAAAGGCAUUAUAAGCCCUUGAACAUUGUGAACAAAAGCAUCACUAACAGCUAUAUAAUCGGAUGAAGCUGCAGAUCAUGAGUAAGAGGAGGGGAUUGGAUUCAAGAGUCAAUAUGGGUGUAGCUUCCUUCUUUCGUUGGAUGAUUCUAGUCAUCUUCAUUGCUUCGAUCUUCACUAUUCAUAUGGCUGAGGGAAUUUCAGCCUUUGCAGAUCCCAUUCGAAAGACAAUUCGCAGAGAUAUGGCAAGCCCUCCCCCACCUCCCAUUCCAGGCAAAUUUAAGCAUCAGAACCCACCUGAGAGACCACCUUCUACACCUGGAUUGUUUUAAGACCAUGGAAGUAAUAAAAGUUCUACAAGUACUAGUAGUCUGUUGGGAGGUUAAUUCCCUUACUAGCUAUGUUGCCAUAAAAAUGAAUGAUUAAUGACUCGUGCUCUUUCUUUCCAUUGAUUUAUGUAUCUUCAACAUGUUGACAUGAUUAUGUUUAUUGAUUAUCUCCAUUUUCAAAAAUUAUUGGACAUUAAGGACUGAGUCCACUAUCCCAUUUUUGCUUAAA